GCAGCUACAUGCAGUCGAGCGGUACAGAAAGNUGCUUGCNNCUUUGCUGACGAGCGGCGGACGGGUGAGUAAUGCUUGGGAACAUGCCUUGAGGUGGGGGACAACAGUUGGAAACGACUGCUAAUACCGCAUAAUGUCUACGGACCAAAGGGGGCUUCGGCUCUCGCCUUUAGAUUGGCCCAAGUGGGAUUAGCUAGUUGGUGAGGUAAUGGCUCACCAAGGCAACGAUCCCUAGCUGGUUUGAGAGGAUGAUCAGCCACACUGGAACUGAGACACGGUCCAGACUCCUACGGGAGGCAGCANUGGGGAAUAUUGCACAAUGGGCGCAAGCCUGAUGCAGCCAUGCCGCGUGUGUGAAGAANGCCUUCNGGUUGUAAAGCACUUUCAGUCAGGAGGAAAGGGUGUGAGUUAAUACCUCACAUCUGUGACGUUACUGACAGAAGAAGCACCGGCUAACUCCGUGCCAGCAGCCGCGGUAAUACGGAGGGUGCNAGCGUUAAUCGGA
rnacentral:rRNA from 1 species